CGACGUAAAGAACUUGCCUCACAGCUAGGGGCAACAUUUAGAAAUGAAUGCUAAUACCUGAUAUUAUGAUUUUAAGGCAUCUUAGAAUUAUGAAAGCUAUAAGCACUGUGAGAGAGCUUUGCGUCCCAUUAGCUAGUUGGAGAGGUAACAGCUCACCAAGGCGAUGAUGGGUAGCCGGCCUGAGAGGGUGAACGGCCACAAGGGGACUGAGACACGGCCCUU
rnacentral:rRNA from 1 species